rnacentral:rRNA from 1 species
CCUACGGGAGGCAGCAGUAAGGAAUAUUGGUCAAUGGAGGCAACUCUGAACCAGCCAUGCCGCGUGCAGGAUGACGGCCCUAUGGGUUGUAAACUGCUUUUAUACAAGAGAAAACCCUGGUACGUGUACCAGGUUGAUAGUAUUGUAAGAAUAAGCAUCGGCUAACUUCGUGCCAGCAGCCGCGGUAAGACGAAGGAUGCAAGCGUUAUCCGGAUUCAUUGGGUUUAAAGGGUGCGUAGGCGGACUGAUAAGUCAGUGGUGAAAUCUCUUUGCUUAACAAAGAAACUGCCAUUGAUACUGUCGGUCUAGAGUAUAGAUGACGUUGGCGGAAUAUGACAUGUAGUGGUGAAAUACUUAGAUAUGUCAUAGAACACCGAUUGCGAAGGCAGCUAACGAAACUAUAACUGACGCUGAGGCACGAAAGUGCGGGGAUCAAACAGGAUUAGAUACCCUGGUAGUCCGCACCGUAAACGAUGAUUACUCGUUGUUGGCGAUAUGACAGUCAGCGACCAAGCGAAAGCGANAAGUAAUCCACCUGGGGAGUACGCCGGCAACGGUGAAACUUAAAUGAAUUGACGG